AUACGGAGGGGGCUAGCGUUGUUCGGAAUUACUGGGCGUAAAGCGCGUGUAGGCGGAUCGUUAAGUCAGGGGUGAAAGCCCGGAGCUCAACUCCGGAAUUGCCCUUGAUACUGGCGGUCUAGAGGCCGGGAGAGGUGAGCGGAAUUCCCAGUGUAGAGGUGAAAUUCGUAGAUAUUGGGAGGAACACCAGUGGCGAAGGCGGCUCACUGGCCCGGUUCUGACGCUGAGACGCGAAAGCGUGGGGAGCAAACAGGAUUAGAUACCCCAGUAGUCC
rnacentral:rRNA from 1 species